rnacentral:lncRNA from 1 species
CUCCGCCGCGCGGCUCGCAGCUCGUAGCGCGGCACCGGCGCUGGCGCCGGCGUCCAUAGGGGCCGCUCGUGUAGGCGCAAUCGUGCACAUGCUAUCUGCGUCAGAGGCCCCUUUCAACACUCUGUUGCCAACCGCCUAGUGGCGUCGAUGGUUGCCAUCAAUUUUUUACAAAGGGAAGAGCAAAGCCGCCCGCACAGACACCCACGGCGCAUGGAUCCGUCCCAGGCGCCGCGCGGUCAUUUCGUCGGGCUACACCAUAGCACGUAGCUCGCUCGUUGUGCGGCCUGUCAU